UGGGGAAUAUUGGGCAAUGGGCGAAAGCCUGACCCAGCGACGCCGCGUGGGUGAUGAAGGCCUUCGGGUUGUAAAACCCUUUCGUGCGGAAAGAAUAGUCCUGUAGCGAAUAACUACGGGAUUUGACGGUACCGCAGGAAGAAGCACCGGCUAACUCCGUGCCAGCAGCCGCGGUAAUACGGAGGGUGCAAGCGUUGUUCGGAAUUAUUGGGCGUAAAGGGCGCGUAGGUGGUUGUGAUAGUCAGAUGUGAAAUCCUUCGGCUCAACCGAAGAACUGCAUCUGAAACUUCAUAGCUCGAGUACAGGAGAGGGAAACGGAAUUCCCGGUGUAGAGGUGAAAUUCGUAGAUAUCGGGAGGAACACCAGUGGCGAAGGCGGUUUCCUGGCCUGAUACUGACGC
rnacentral:rRNA from 1 species